ensembl:lncRNA
CAAGAAUUUGUAAAAUGUACAAUAUUCAACAAACAAUUAAGACACAAUCAUGGGUUUAAUGUAAAAUAAUGAUGCUGGUUUUGAAUCUGCAGAACAAAGAGGACAAGCAAACAGUGAAAGAUCAGAUGGAAGGGGUUGUGGAAAAACUGUGGUGGCAACUGCAGCAUGUUUUACACCACUAUAACGAGUCCACCAAAGACAGAUUCAUCACAACUGAGUCUCUGCAAAUCAAGGACGAGAUUGACACACAUAAAAAGCACAUUCAGAAGUUGCAGGAGUCCAUCUCUGCUCUGCGCUGUCAAACGGGAGAAACAGCUCAACAGCUUCAUUCAGGCCGUGAUGAGCUUGCCCAGAAAGUUCAACAUUUCAGAGUCCAGCUCGCUGAGGGCCAAACCAUUCGGAGAAAGCAGCUCACCAAACUUACCAUUCAAAGCAGCAAUGCUACUAAAAAACUGCAGGAGAUUGCAUCCAUGGUAUUUGAAUAUUUAUUGGGAGCAGAGAAAGGGGGAAAGGUUGAUUCGUUUCUCUGAGAUGUGUUGUAAGCUGGAGACGGAGUACGAGAAGGUUCUGCCCUUCUACACAUCAUCACUGAGUGAAGAAGAGCUGAAUCAGGAGAGAGCCAAUGCUAUUGAGCUGCCAACUGAGAAACUCGCUCAGGAGAAUGAACGACUGAGGCUCUAUCUGAAGCAAGUUUUCGGCAACAGAAGCUUCUGGUGGUGUUGUCUCAUACUCUACAGGACUCCGCUGCCACUGAGAGAAGCACUAUGUGGUCCAAGAAGCAGCAAAUGUUGUGCAGAAACAGUUUUCGGGAAUAAAACUUGAAUGUGUACAGCAAAAGUUUUUUCUGCCUAGCAUUCAGUCAGUCAGUCUGUUUAAUGCAAUGAUCUCAUUACAUUUUUUAUUCAAUUUAUGAUUUCACCAGAUACUAUCUUCACAGCUUUUUCUUGCAUCUGUAUAUCAACUAUGUUCUAGAGAAAAAAAGCAGUAAUUCUGUGC